CGCAUGUGAUUGUGGGAAGAUUCUCAUCGGCGUGGGAUGGGGUCGCGUCCUAUCAGGUUGUUGGUGAGGUAACGGCUCACCAAGGCUUCGACGGGUAGCCGGCCUGAGAGGGCGACCGGCCACAUUGGGACUGAGAUACGGCCCAGACUCCUACGGGAGGCAGCAGUGGGGAAUAUUGCACAAUGGGCGCAAGCCUGAUGCAGCGACGCCGCGUGAGGGAUGGAGGCCUUCGGGUUGUAAACCUCUUUUGUUUGGGAGCAAGCCUUCGGGUGAGUGUACCUUUCGAAUAAGCGCCGGCUAACUACGUGCCAGCAGCCGCGGUAAUACGUAGGGCGCAAGCGUUAUCCGGAUUUAUUGGGCGUAAAGGGCUCGUAGGCGGCUCGUCGCGUCCGGUGUGAAAGUCCAUCGCUUAACGGUGGAUCUGCGCCGGGUACGGGCGGGCUGGAGUGCGGUAGGGGAGACUGGAAUUCCCGGUGUAACGGUGGAAUGUGUAGAUAUCGGG
rnacentral:rRNA from 1 species